UAAACAAGGGGUCAGCAAACUUUGUCUUAAAGGGACAGAUAGUAAAUCUUGUAGGCUUUGUGAGCCACACUGCUGUUGCAGCUUGCAAGCAGCAGUGUACUGUACACAAACAAAUGGGCAUGGCUGUGCUCCAAUGAUGCCAUUUACAAAACAGGCAGAGGGCUGGGUCUGGGCUUCCCCUGCCCUAACCUAAGCCCAGCUGGGCUUCAUUCAGCACGCUGUGUACCACUCUUGAUGGGUAGGCCCACUCUGCCCGCACCUUGAAACCUGACCAGGUCUUCUCCCACCCCAUGAAUGUAAACAUUUUAACAACUAGCCUGACUGUGAAAAGCCUGGAGAAUCCUUCCUACAGGGGACAGUGGUGCAAAGAGAAGCUGGACAGGCGCCCACACCUGGCUGGCACGCACACCUGUGUGCACCGAGGGGGAACUGACGAGCACCUGAAUUGCCGAGCCAGGCUGCAGUAAGUCAUUAGGAUCGGGGUGAGAUGCCCCCACAGGGACAAGGGAGGGGUGAGAAUCAGAGGGGUUUCUUUUCUCAGCUAAGAAAGGCCCCAGGGGCAGCCUCUGCCCCACAUGGCUCUCAGUACCAGCGAUGGGCAGGGUCCCUUCGUUCUCAUUGCGGUUUCCCCAGGGCUCCCACACCACCAGCUGCCUCUUCUAGAAACUCCCCAUCAGGCCUUCUCCCCCGCGAAUCUUGGUAACGUCCUUGCUGCCUCUCUCACACCCUCCUGUCCUCCUCUUCCUACAAACAUGCUCCUGUCUCCAUCCCACCUUGAAGAAACCCUUGGCCGAUACGGCACCCACCCAUGGUCCCAGGAUAACCCCUUUUCUUCCCUAGGCUAAUAAAACAGAGAAAGUAAGUGCAUCGGGCACUCCAGACCAAAGCCAUUUGCAGAAUGGAGUCACAGGCUGACAUCCAAGACUUUAGCCAGCUGGCUUCAGGCAGCAGAUGCAAAGGAGAGGUCAUGAGCAGGCCAGGCCCUGGCUAGGCAGGGGAUGCACUGGCUUCCCAGGCAUCCUGGGCACCCCCUCCAGGUGGCAUAGGGGCUCCCCAGCACUGAAGGGUGUUCAGCAGCCUGCAAACCAACUGACUCACAGAGCCCAGAUAGUGACGCCAAGACCAGCCGCUCCGGGGCCAACAUCAGAGCUGGAGAGCUGAGCCAGUGGCACGCCAGUCACUGAGGAAGGCCUCUUGUUGAUAAAGACAGGGCAUGAAUUCUUGGGGGGCUGUUACGUACCUUCCCAAAGGGAGAAAGAAACCCCUUGUUCAGUCACCGCACAGCUGUCUCUGGAGACAGGAGCACAAAGCUGCCUUCUGCCCAGGGCACUGCUUCCUUGGCAAGUGACCAGCAGCUGGGACCGCACGUGCCAAAGGCAGCAGCUGCCAUGUUUGACAAACUGGAACGGAGCUAUGUCCAAAUUAAAUCCCCCCAACCAGCCUCUGCCAUACUCCCUUUGGGGACAGGGGUGGUCGGUCGUUACGCUUGCAAAAUUCCAACAGCACCUAGAGUCCCAGGAAAUGGGGCUGCUGGCCAAUAGAGGUGGGACCCAGGGUGACAGGCCACAUGCUCCUUAGAGAGCCAACAGUGUUUCCUGAAUUCCAUGGGAGUUUGCCGAGGGGACAUGGAAGCUAGGAUUCCGGAACACCCGCUGGGAGCCUAGUCCUGGGCUAGGGGCUGCAUUUAUCAUUUCAUCCUCACAACUACUGUUGCAGUUUCGCCUAACAGAGAAGGAGACAAAACUAACCCGGUGGCCACGUGGCCGAAGGCACAGAGCCGUUGAGUGGCAGCGUGGCAUUUGAAUUCAGGCCGGUGAUGCUGAAGUCCCCAGGUCUUUUUUUUUUUGAUGCCCACAACAAUGUAACUACUAAUAGCCUGUUAUUGAUGCAGGCCUUACCAAUAACAUAAAUAGUUGAUGAACACAUAUUUUGCAUAUGUGUUAUAUACUGUAUUCUUAUCAUAAACGAGCCAAAGAGAAGGAGAUGUUAUUAAGAAAACGGUAAGAAAGAGAAAAUAUAUUUAGCAUUCAUUUAGCAGAAGGGGAUCACCAUAAAGGUCUUCAUCCCUGUUAUCUUCACCUUGAAGAGGCUGAGAAGGAGGAGAAGGAGGGGGUGGUCUUGCUGUCUUAGGGAUGGUGGAGGUAGAAGAGGCAAAGAAGGUGGAAGGGAAGGCAGCCACGCUCGGUGUAAGCUUUAUUGGAAAAAAUCUGCAUUUAUGUGGACUCUCACCAGGCAAACCCGUAUGGUGCUCGAGGGCCAACUGUAUUUCCACUACCGUCAUCCGCCUUGCCCAGGGUGACCUGAUUCACUGACGGGAGGGUUUGCCUUCCCAUGCGCAUCAGUUCAGCCUUCCCCUGAUGUCAUUCUUUUCCUAGUGGCUAACAGGCUGGAUGUGCAGUUGGGGACAGUCAGUAUCUGGGGUCUGGUGAGGACCCUCUUCCUGGUUUGCAAAGCAGGAAGAUGCCAGGCAUCUCUUUCUGUCCUGCUCAGUCAAGUGUGAAUCACAAAGCCUGAGUUCAGAUCCUCGACCUUGGGCAGGUGAACUUCACUCUUAUGAGUCUCAAUUUCUGUACCCAC
rnacentral:lncRNA from 1 species